CCGCUAUAGCGCCAAUUAAUCCUGGUGAUUUUCUAUCCAUUUUGUCCUUUGCAGGUAGAACACCAGAGCUCACUGACAUCCAGAGAGUGAAGUCUCCUGUCCUCACUAGAAACAGGAGGUUUUGGGAAGAAUACCGGUUUGAAGCAGAAGAAGCCUGGAGAAAUCUGUGGACAUAGAGGAUUCCGACUUGGGCCACGCAACAGUAAGAAGGAACUGAAGAGGUAUAAGUCCCACCAACACUUACACCCUUGGUUGAGAGCACAACAAGAACAACUAAACAGGCACGGACCAAUGGACACGACUUGCUAGAAAUCUCAGGCGCAGGGUGCGCGUGUGUAUCCGCUUGUGGAAUACACAUGUAAGGACCAGCACUCGAAGAAGCGGGUAUUAUGCCAGUCCUGCUCCUUUGGUAAAUUACUGGAUUGAGCUGCUGCAAUACAGAAGCCUAGUGGUGCCAACUGGCAAAGGAUUCACUACUCUGUCAGCAAUUCCUAUCAGGCCUGACAAACUCACUACUGCGAACACAUUGCUUUCACGGUAUUUAUCUAUAAAUUAUGAAUUGUAAGGUAUCAAAUGAAAGCUGGAGACACACUGGCCAUACAUGAUGAAAGCUGUACAUACAGAUGGUGUGUAAGCAGUUAUAUGUACCUACUAAAAUAUGUUUUAAACUAUUUAAAAAGGCAAAUUUGACAAACAGGUUUUCUGCCAGACAAACUAUAGCCAUUCACCUGUCCCUGUCUCUGAUGUAAAUUAAGCACUGUAAGCCAAACACACAGGAGCUACAUUUGCAUUCCAAGUCAGCAUGAGGCUGAGAAGUCCCCCUGAGGGUCAGCACACUGAAGAACAAAUGGAGGGUGUUUCCAACCUUUACUGGUCUAUAACUGGGGGACAAGACAGAUAUUUUGGUUGUCCAUCACCAAGGGAGCAAAAAGAACAGCGCCUUUUGCAUUCAUGAAUGCUGGAUCCUAGCCAUGCAGAUUGGUGACACUAGGCAGAAGCUUUAGGUGAGACACGGCUUUAGACGAGACGCUGCUUUAGACAAGGAUUUCAGCCUGUUAAAGGUAAACGUAGGCUCUAAGGACCAUGUUAUACCUUUUGCUUUACAUGUAACCAUUUCUGUUUCCAUUAUCCUUUCUCAGUAUCUCUUAAAUCUUUAUCUUUGACAAUAAACUUACAAUUGUUUCACUAUAAA